UCAAGUAAACGGCUCUUGUACUGUCAUUCCUUUCAUAGGCGACAGUCACAGUUGUUUGCAAAACUCGUCACGUAUCACGUUGCAUGUAUUUCCGCUUCAGGAACGAGGCUAUUAAAUAAAGGCAUGGCAGAUGUUUGGGGUUUGGCGCAUGCGCAGUUCAACCGUAACAUUGAAGCGACUGCAGACAGACAGUAGAAAAAAGGACUCGAGUCCGUUUAGGUGCAAUCUGGUUGCGAACGGCCGCCUGGACUCAGGGUGGGUAAACUCGUGAGAAUUACAGACCAGACUUAACUGCGCAUGUGUUGAGCCUCAAUAUUAUGACGCAAGACAUUACCUAUUUUAACGCUCCUUGCUCGGGGAUAUCAUUGGCUGAGUAAUUCCUAGUCCUCCUGUAUGGCGCAGUACUGUCGUGCAAUUACAUACUAGAGCAGACAUGGGCAAACUACGGCCCGUUAGGCUUUUUAAUCCGGCCCGCCGAACUUGUCCAAAUCGCGACUUUGUUUACUUCCGGUGUGCGUUGGCGCGGAAAGUACUCGUCACACAAAACCCUUCACCAUGAUUUGUCAAUCCGUUUGUCUGUCAAACAACAACCAAUGAACACUCAGUAAAUCACAAGGGACCCGCCCACCACACAGGUGGGGCUCAUUUAGAAACAGCUGCAGUGAUUUUGGCGAGCAGCGCGGAGCCACGAGGAGGAACACGCAGCCAGAAGAGAGCCACUUGGACCGGAGAGGAUUCACCAGCGCCUGCAGCUCCACCUGCCCGGCCAGCAGAGAGCUCUCGUGCCCCUGAGGACCACCAGCAUGACACGAUGACAUGAUGUUAUUAUAGUGAAGCCAUAUUGUAAAUAGUCUGUCAAUAGUUGUGUUCUGUUUUCUAUUUCACAACAUGUAUAUAAUGUAGAUUUUUUUUUUUAAUGUACAACACAUUUAUAAUAAAAAAAAAUUAAUGGUCA